GGCAGGGCUCCACCCAAGAGGAAGAAAACAAAGACAAUGCCACAAAGCUAGAGGAAGAACCCAGCCAGGGCACCUCUCUAGGUCAGGCAGACUUGGCAUUUGAUUUGCUGGCUUACUAUUCCCUGGGCAUUGGCUCUAAAAGGCACAGAGGGCACUGGUCACUCUGGGCCUGGUGGCCCUGAAGACACCAGACUAUAUCUGAAACACACAAGGAUCCCCUUUCCUCUCAGACUUCAACCCACCUGCACUGCUAUGUGUGUUCCGUUGGCUGUGGCCAACAGCGCCACCUGUUGAUGAUGAAGGGAUGCUACACUUGAGUUCUCGGCCACCACAGCCCCAGAGGUAAUGAUUGUGACCUGAAACACAGAAGAUCUUCCACCCACCUGCAGUACCCUCCAUCUCCCCACUCCUAAUAACAACCACUCCACACAAGAUGGCUAGGAACAACCCAGAAAAAAAUGGACAAGACCAUGUAGAUCAUAUUAAUUAGUUUGAGGCUCUGAGAUGAACGAGGUUGUGUUUUUCUCCAAUUUAGAGCCCAGGAGAAUUCAGGAUUUCAAAUCGUAGGACAGAGUUAUAAAGGACCCCAGAGAGAAUUUAAUCCCUUCAGCUGAAAAUAGACCUUGAAGUUCAUGAAAAAGUGAUUGCCUACUUUUCAGCAAAGCAAAUUUAGAGUAAACUGAGAUUUAGAAACCAUCUCUUGACCCCAUUGUGUGUGUGUGAGUGUGCGCUGUACUGCGAAUUGAACCCAGGGGUACUUAAUACUGAGAUAUGCUCUCAGCAGUUUUUUUAAAAGACAGGAUCUCACUAAAUUGUCCAGGCUGGCCUCAAACUUCUGGUCAUCUUGCCUAAGCCCCUUGAGUGGCUGGGAUUACAGGCCAUGAUACCCAACUCAAGUCAAAUGCUUUUAAAGGUUUGAGUUGCCCAGAGGAGCUGCGGGGAAGACCUUUGAUGGUGGGGAAUCUUUGUCCUUGAAAAGGCUUGGCUAGUUUGGCCUGUACUUUCAUGCCCACCCCAUGGAAAGGUUAACAAGAGAACAAGAAACCCUAAGCAAACUGCCUGGUCAUACGGGCUGCGUCUGGGUGCCAUCAGCGCUGACCAUGGUGACUGUAUGUGUGCCAGAUGUGGCCAGGUCAUCGUUGUGGCUGGGGAUGGUGAGGGUGGUGCUGCCGUGCUGGGUUACCACACUGAUGGCACUCCCCAGGGCCUGCAGGUCUUCUGGGGACAGGCUGACCUGCCAAAAGGAGGGGAGAAGAUGAGCUGGAACACCAGAAAAGGGGUGUCUGAAAACCCCUCAGGAGGGUGUCUGCUCUCCCAGAUAAGCAAGCAAAACAGGGCCAAGACAGCAGAGAGCUACGCUAAAAUUGACUAACCACUUCUGUGACCACCACUUUGCCUUCAAGCCCUGCUAUUGCAUCAGGGUCUUCACCAAAUUUCAUCCCUGACACCUCUAGAAGGCCUACGUGUACUGGGCAGAGAGGGUGUGGACAAGGGCCAGGUUAUACUGCUGGCUGGUAACACUGGUGGGACUUCCAGGCUUCCGGAACCCUAUACCAACGUGCCUCUUGAGAAGGACAUUCAAAUGUCUCAGUUGGACACCUAUCAGCUUCCAAGAGGAAAGCUACUAUUUUCCAGAAGCUGAGACUAGGCUGGAAGCAAGAGGCUGGGCUACACGAUUUGGUCCCCUCAGCUUUAGCUCUCUGAAGUCCACAGAGCUAAAAUAGAAAUCUGCAUGGAAGUGGGGUUGUCAGAACUUCAGAGCUCCCCAGAGUUCCUAGAGAGAAUGAAGUGGUCAUUUUGGCCUGCCCCAGCCCUGUACCUGCUGGGCACCAUCCUGAGUGAUGAGAGCCACCUGGGGAGCCCCAUCCUCCUCAGUCACCAUGGCCACUUGAGCUGGGAUGUCAUCACCCUCUUCCUUCACUUCUGACAGGUGCCCUCCAUCCUAAACUGUGCUCUGGGAGGCUCCAAAAGCCCACACUGGUCUAUUCUAUGUUGCCUGGGCAGGGAAGAGGGCGUAGAAAAGCCCACUUUGUCCUCUCCUGUAGCAGCUGGAAGCAUUACAAAAAUGUAAGUAUGAGAACCUAGAGAAUCUGUGGCUAAAGGUCUUUGUUUCACAGAAGGAAAAAUAUAGCCCAGAGAUGCCAUGGCCCUCAGCACCCCACAUCUAAUGAUUUUCAGAGCUGAUAUGACAAGGAGUGUCUCUCUACCUAUGCCCCUGUUUCCUUCCACUGGCCUUGACCAUGCUGCCUUUCGCUUCUGUAGCAGGGUUUCCUUCAAAGGCAGCACCUGCAGGUCAGAGCACUCUCAGUAGUUUCUCUAGAUUGGCAGCCUGUGUUGUGCCUCUCUCAAGGAGGCCCCAAAGCUGAUCUAGAAUCCUCUGCUCUCAAUUGGAAGCAGUCUACCUUCAGUCUCCAUCCAGGUAAGUUACCUGUGGCAAAGGCCUUUCCACAGCUGGGGAAAUCACACCUGUAUGGACGGUCACCUGUGUGAGCUCGUUCAUGCACCUGUGAGGACAAGAAAUUGCAUAAUUCAGAGGGACAGGAGUAUAGGCUCGUCUCUGGUUCUCUUCAGGGCCCUGGUUCUUCCCUGCUAUUCUGUACAUGUGUAUCAUAACCUCCUGUGCUGAUGUUUCUGUGUAUGUAUCUCUUCCCUCUAGAAGGUAAUGUGCAAAUUGAGGGCAGGAACCAGUUCCAAAAAAGCAGAAUGGCAGAAUUUCAGCCUGGCAGGAAGGUAGGUAGAGCUGAAAAUUGCCUACUAGCCACCUUACCUUUAAGUGAUGUGCAGUGGUAUAGAGACGCCCACAGCCCUUGUAGCCACAGCGGAAUGCUCUGUCUCCAACCUGCUGCCCUUUGCCAUUAUGAGGAGCCUGGCUGUCAUGUAGAACCUGAGGAAAAAGUCUUAGGGUCCCUAUAUGGAUUCUCCCCAUUGAAGGAAAAGAAGUGGUAGCAUACAGGGUCCAACUGACAGCCUAUGACUCAAUAACAUGGUAAAACUAUCAAGGGCCUCUAGGGUAGAGGACAUAUCCAGACAGAAAGGGAACAGAUAUUCAGGCACACUGCAAGAGAAGCCAUGCUGGCAAUAUGAAGUCAUACUCAUCUCUGAUGGACAGAGCGGGGACAGUCACAGGGGCUGUGGUAGCUACUGAAGAAGGAAUAUCUCGUAGCCAAUUAGGUGAGGUGGGGCAUUUGGAUGGCCAUACUUGAGCUAGGCUGACUUCCAGGAACCUCCCUUUUAACCACACACUCCUAAGAGGCUGCAAUUCUUGAUAUGUUCAUCCUCUGAUAGGAGGGCCUCCUCCUCCUGGUGGGAAACUGCACAGAAAGAGCAUGAACAAGGGGGCUUGCUGUGUAGAUGAGCUCAGCCAGGUUCACCUGGCAGGGCAAGGGGCCCACAGUGAAGUGGCUACAACCAGAAGUGCUCUAAAAGAGGGGGCACAAAUUUAAGCCCUAACUACAGCACCCAGGUAACUAACAAAUCCUUUGUUUUAUUUAAUUUCCUGGGGACACUGUUAGAGUCACCUGUCUGACACCAGCCUCAGACCAGAGAGCCCUUACUACUCUUCUGCUUUCCUAGGCAUGGUCCUAGUGGGACUGUCCCUUACUCUUUUCUUUUGGGAUGCUGCAGGAUCACACUCUGGUCUUUUCAGGAGAUCCUAGAACUCUGGAAGUCAUAGUGAGGAGAGGACUAAAGGGUAAGACCAAAUUCAUGGCAAGAUCUGUCUAAUUUGGCUCCAGGUCAGAGGGGCAAAUAGCUGACACCCACACAAGCACUCAGAUUUCAUUCCAUGUCAUACCAGCUCCCUGUAAUUAGGGAGUCAAGGAUCAUCAGAGCUGGAAGCAACCCUGAGAUCAUCUGGUUCCAUAUUAUGGUAUUAGAGAGGAAUAAGCUGAGGCCUGGGAGGGGAGUGACUCACCUGAGAUUGGACUAUGUGACGGCAGAGCCAGCACAUAUUUCAGGGCUCAUGGUCUAAAUAAAGACCAAUUCUUUUUCCAUCAGCUGUCAGUCUCACAUUUGGUUUCUAAAAUAUUCCCUGGGAACAGGGGUGGGAGUGGGCAAUAGCUAAAAGUGGUCUGCCACAGUUUUGUGUGGUGUUUUUUUUGAACUGGAUUGAACCUAGGGGCACUUAACCACUGAGCACAUCCCCAGCCCUUUUUCAUUAAGUUACUUAGGGCCUCUCUAAAUUGUUGAGGCUGGCUUUGAACUUGUGAUUUUCUGCCUCAGCCUCCUGAGCUACUGGGAUUACAGGUGUGCAGCACCAUACCAGUUUGUGUUUCAUUUUGAAGUGACAUGAAGAUUUCCUCUUUUCCUUUACCACACAGCCAAUUUCACUGUAUAAAAACAACUUUUCUUCAAUCUUUGGGUAAAUCUGGUGUUUCAGGAAACUGCCACAAAUACUCCAAAGCUCUGCGGUCCAGCCAGGGAAAGAUCACUCCAAUCUGGAAAAUUCACAGAUCUCAGAUCUCUGUGUUCCUGUCUUCCAACAGGCAGCACCACAGUUUCAGCAGAGGAUGCUCAGAAUGACUGGUAUUUGAAGGGAAAGAGCCUUUUUUUCCUCCUUUUUUCAGUAUUUGAGAUCAAGCCCAGGGCCUUGCUUAUGCUAGGCAAGUUCUCUGCCUCUGAGCUGUAUCUCCAGCCCUGAGCCAGGAGUCUAUUUUUCAACUGAGUUACUGUGUGGGCCUCAGGUUCCAAGAAUCCCACCUGCUCUGUUGCAUAUGCCCUGGUCAUUGCCCUGCCAUGCUUAUUUUCCCAGUGACUAAAUAGUUGCAGAGAAGAAAUAAAUACAAGAGUAUCUGACUUCAGUGGAUAAAACAAAAACAAAAAACUAAUAAAAGACACUGGCAGGGGCUUUCCUAAAAAGUACAGAGGACUAUUACAGCAGCCAAAGAGAAGCUGGGCCUAACUUCCCAUCACACAAUGCUACUUUUUUUUUUUUUUUUACAGCAGCCUUCUCUCUUCAGAGACAGGCAUAAAUGUAAUCAACCGUAGCAGACCCAGCCCAUGCCCUGGACAGGGACAUGUGAGAUGAUCUGGGGUAACUUGGGUAGAGGGGCAAAGACAGUAUUGCCCAGGUCAUGUUCAAGCACAGGGCUGCUCCUGUCCUCUGGAGAGGUGAAGUUCUGGUAGGGCCAAGAGGUAGUGGACAGGUGAAGCCCCACGGUUGUGAGUGAGGGAUAGUGUCAGGAUCUGCGUGCUCACCUUGCUUGCAUACUGCUCCAGGGCUACCACUGUGUCUGCGCUAAAGCCCUCAUCAUCUUCUGCUGCCAGAUCUUCUAAGCCCACCUCUGUCUGCACGGCCAGGAUGGUGCUGUCUGAUGGCACAGCCACAGGAUGGUGAAUGUAGGCAGUGGAGCCAUCUUCCAGCUGCACAGCUUCCAGGGCACUGGGAUCAUAGCCCUCUGCAAGGAACACACGAUUAGCCCUGAAGCCACACAAGAGGAGAAGACAGAGCUGGGAACCUGGCUUUAACUUAAUGAAAGGUACACAUUCCAAGGAGUUUCAACAUCAAGUUUGUCCUGGCCUUCACCUUGGUGAUUCCUUCUUGCUAGUGGGAAUUCCUUCUGGGGUUGCCUCUCCUAAGGACAAGGUCUCUAUGGUGUGCUGAUUGGAAACUCACUAGCUCCUCAAGGACCUAAUGGGACCACCAUCACCUGGGCUUAGAUGGCCACAAAGGCUUCCUGAUCAAGCACCUCUCCCCUGUUCUACUUCCUUCUAGGCAGCAUGGCAUCUAUAGGAAUCUUACAGGACACAAAGGUGAUCCCAUCACCUAACUGCUUUAACAGUUCAAAUGUUUCCCACUGGUCUUAGGACAAACACCAAGAUCCAAACCCCAAUGCAACCAGUGAGUGCUCUGCCUUUCUCAUUCUGGCUUCCUCUUAACCACUCUCCUCUCUCCCCUAGUCUUCUAGCUCCCAGAAGUUCCUAGAAUGUGCCAUUAUUUCUCCCAGCUCUCCAGCUCCAUGCCUACCAUGCUAUUCCUCUGUCUGCAGUACUGAAUGCUCCCUGCCACCCUCCUUCCCCUAGCUAAAUCUAUCCAUCCUUCAGCUCUCAGUUCCAGCAUCACUUCCUUAGAGAAGUCCUCCCUGAGCCUGAUCCCAGCUUGUAAUGAUCAGUUCAUCAGUGAUGGCUUAUUUCACUUCUCUUUCCCCCUCUAGACUAUGGGUGAGCAUGGACUGUGUCUAACUUGAUUCUCCCUUGUAUGCUUCAUGCCUAGCACAAUGGCUGACAUAUAGUCGUUGCCCAAGAAGCACUUGGCCACUGGGAUUUAACUCAGGAGCACUUGGCCACUGAGCCACAUUCCAGCCCUAUUUUGUAUUUUAUUUAGAGACAGAGUCUCACUGAGUUGCUUAGAACCUUGCCACUGCUGAGGCAGGCUUUGAGCUCAUGAUCUUCCUGCCUCAGCCUCUUGAACCUCUGGGAUUACAGGCAUGUGGUAUCGAACCUGGCAGGAGCUCUAUUCUUAAAUAUUGGUUAAGUUUCUUUUUUCCUGGCUACGGAUGAUGUCCUCAAGUCCUAUUUAAAGCCUUAAUACUUUGUGGACGUGCUGGAGCCAAAGUCACCACCAAGGCCCACGUACAGACUCUUAAAGCUUAGCCUCCUGGUGGCAGAGACAGCUGUAUGCACAGGAAAGGUGGGUAAGGCUGCUAACAAAGGUGAGCAUACAUGUGCUUCGGGGAGGACAGCAUCUGUGUCUAUAUUCUAAUCAUCACAAUGUGCCACUCUAUCCCCUCUGCCCUGACCUCUGUCAGUUCUGUGUCCAUUCUUUUCCCUGUCAGUUGUGAUGUCCAUGAACCCACCUUUGGGUGUGCGGUGUAUAUAGGCCAUGCUGCCAUCUUCCAGUUGCACAGGCUGUCCAUCCUCAAAGGAGAGAGAUUCUGUAAUGAGAGCAAUGCCAGUCUUUCUCUGGAGCUUGGAGCCACAGAGGGGUCCUUGAUGGGGACUGCCAUCCCUCCACAAGCCAGGGGUGUGUUGGUGUCCUCACCUUUCUGUACUGUCACUUGGUGAAUGUAUGCGGUGGUCCCAUCCUCAAGCUGGAUCACUUGCCCUUCAAGCAGCUUCUCUCCUAUGGAGGUGGAAAUGGAGAGAAAUGGGCCAGGCCUGAAAAGGACUCAGAGAUGCCUGUUUUUAGAAAAGGCCAUUUGAGACUCUGGGCAUGAGCCUGUAGCACAGAUAAUGUUCACCAAGUUUCCUUGCUCCUGAACUUCCUAGGCCUGGGCCUUGAGGCACUGAGAAUAAAGACAUCCUGUCAUUCAGGAACCUUGCAUCUCCCAGCAGAUCCCCUUCCUGUCACUCACAGGGGAGAAACUUCCUUUAUUAUUCCGCCCAAGCCCGGCAAAGUGGGGAUUUCCAGCCUAACAGAAACUGCUGAGAUUGAACUAAAUGGAGAACAAAGGAAACCCAGGAGGGACCCAAAUGUGGACACAACAUCUUUGUUUGUACGUGGUGCUGAGGAUCGAACCUGGGCCGAACGCAUGCCAGGCAAGCGCGCUACAGCUUGAGCCACAUCCCCAGCCCCUUUCUUUAGAAGUUUUACAUUUUGGAAUUUGAUUCUUAUGAGAUAGGAAAAGAAUGAGGUGGCUACUUCUGGCCCAGCUUUCUGCUAUCUCCCCUUCAGAAGAGUCCCCAAACUUGUCUCCAGACUGAAUUGUUGAGAGCCACAGCCGAAGGGGCCCCAGCAAACUUUCAGACUGCCAGCUGAUGAUUGGCUCACAGCAGCCCCAGCAACAUCUAGCUGAUUGGCUCCUCUGCAGUGAUGCUCAUUGGGCUGUUUCCCGCCCUUUCAGACUACGGAGCUGCUCAUUGGGGAACUUUUUUUGGCUCCGCCCAUGCGACCCAGCCAAUCGGCCUCAAGAGCAGGAGGAGGCGGGGAGGUGGAGAGGCUUGUGGGAAGCUGGUGGUGGCAGUUGGGCUCUGAGGGUUUUUCCUGAGGAGCUGUUUUGUUUGGCGUGUGUGGUUCUAAAAAUAAAGUUCAUUUCUUUUGACAA